GCCUAGCCUCCGGAGACAAGAUGUGCUAAGCUCAGGCAUGGGGAUUGUUAGCAUUAGAGGCAGGCCUCAUGGGUCUGAGUUCCCUGCCCUGUGCUUCUUACUUAUAGUUGCUGGGUAACAAGCUGUAAGAUGCUGAAUGGCCAAACUCCAAGCAGGACGGCCAGUGUUAUCAGAAGAAUUCCUACUUUAAACUGAUGAAGUUCACUACAGCAGCAUUUAUCCAUCUAACCCAGCAGCUCAGCAUUCUACUACGGUACUGGUACAAGAAAUUGGAAGACCUAAGGAGAAACCACUGUCACUUGCUCUGCCACCAGAGGGCAGUCACUGCAAACACACAGGGUCUAGAGGAGAGAUGGAGAGGAUUGAAUAAGUAGUCUGCAUAGCUUUCGGAACUGGAUCUGGAAGAGAUGGAACUCAGAGAUUCCCUCAGGCCUUCUGAUGAUGUCCUGGGUAAAUUCAGCCUGGCAGCCGACAUGGAAGAAGUGGGCAUGGAUUCCCCAGAGAAUUUCAACCCAGACUGACUGAUGGAAGGGCCGAGACACAGAAAGUGCUUCUCAGAAGGCAGCUCAAUAUGGCGGCUGGUGUUACUCCUACAAAUGCACCUCCUUGUAUCCUGAAGCCUUGGAGGCCAUUGUCACAGUUCAGGACAGUGAUCCAUCCCUUCCCAAAUCAGCCAGAAUUAAAUGGCCUGAAAUCUUCGAGGCCCCAGGAACAUACACUUCUAGAUCAGCACUUCUCUUCUUUUAACACAGCUUCUCAUGUCUUUGACCACACAGGCCAUCCCUGUCAGGGGUAGAUCCUGAGCUCAGGGAUUGAGCUCUGGGAAGCACUGGCCUCUCUGUCAUAAUUGCUCCUCCUCUCUGGGAACACAGACCCAUGCAUCAACCCCCACUUUGCAGCAGCAGGCUUGAGUCCUAUAAUUAUAAGCAUGAUGAAGUCUGUCUCAGCUGGAGCCAGAUGGGAACUAUGCUAUGAAAGCCCCUAAUUACACAUCUCUGCAAGGAGAACCAGAUCUUACCAAGGACUCUGGAUGAAUAAGCACGAAGGAAAACACUACCUUG
rnacentral:lncRNA from 1 species